rnacentral:rRNA from 1 species
AUUGAACGCUGGCGGCAGGCCUAACACAUGCAAGUCGAACGAGUGGCGGACGGGUGAGUAAUGUCUGGGAAACUGCCUGAUGGAGGGGGAUAACUACUGGAAACGGUAGCUAAUACCGCAUACCAUCGGAUGUGCCCAGAUGGGAUUAGCUAGUAGGGGGGGUAACGGCUCACCUAGGCGACGAUCCCUAGCUGGUCUGAGAGGAUGACCAGCCACACUGGAACUGAGACACGGUCCAGACUCCUACGGUAGGAAGAAGUGGGGAAUAUUGCACAAUGGGGGCAAGCCUGAUGCAGACAUGCCGCGUGUGUGAAGAAGGCCUUGGGGUUGUAAAGCACUUUCAGCGGGGAGGCGUUACCCGCAGAAGAAGCACCGGCUAGCUCCGUGCCAGCCGCCGCGGUAAUUG